rnacentral:sRNA from 1 species
GCUGGGUGUGGUGGCACACACCUGUAAUCCCAGCGACUGGGGAGGCUGAGGCAGGAGGAUUUCAAGUUCAAAGCAAAAAGCGAGGUGCUAAGCAACUCAGUGAGACACAGUCUCUA